GAUGAACGCUGGCGGCGUGCCUAAUACAUGCAAGUCGAGCGAAUGGAUUAAGAGCUUGCUCUUAUGAAGUUAGCGGCGGACGGGUGAGUAACACGUGGGUAACCUGCCCAUAAGACUGGGAUAACUCCGGGAAACCGGGGCUAAUACCGGAUAACAUUUUGAACCGCAUGGUUCGAAAUUGAAAGGAGGCUUCGGCUGUCACUUAUGGAUGGACCCGCGUCGCAUUAGCUAGUUGGUGAGGUAACGGCUCACCAAGGCAACGAUGCGUAGCCGACCUGAGAGGGUGAUCGGCCACACUGGGACUGAGUCACGGCCCAGACUCCUACGGGAGGCAGCAGUAGGGAAUCUUCCGCAAUGGACGAAAGUCUGACGGAGCAACGCCGCGUGAGUGAUGAAGGCUUUCGGGUCGUAAAACUCUGUUGUUAGGGAAGAACAAGUGCUAGUUGAAUAAGCUGGCACCUUGACGGUACCUAACCAGAAAGCCACGGCUAACUACGUGCCAGCAGCCGCAGUAA
rnacentral:rRNA from 1 species